AUUGAACGCUGGCGGCAGGCCUAACACAUGCAAGUCGAGCGAGCGGCGGACGGGUGAGUAAUGCCUGGGAACUGCCCAGUCGAGGGGGAUAACAGUUGGAAACGACUGCUAAUACCGCAUACGAUUGGAUUGCCCAGGUGGGAUUAGCUAGUUGGUGAGGUAAUGGCUCACCAAGGCGACGAUCCCUAGCUGGUCUGAGAGGAUGAUCAGCCACACUGGAACUGCGACACGGUCCAGACUCCUACUGUAGGCAGCAGUGGGGAAUAUUGCACAAUGGGGGAAACCCUGAUGCAGCCAUGCCGCGUGUGUGAAGAAGGCCUUCGGGUUGUAAAGCACUUUCAGCGAGGAGGCGUUACUCGCAGAAGAAGCACCGGCUAACUCCGUGCCAGCAGCCGCGGUAAUUC
rnacentral:rRNA from 1 species